ACUUAUAUAAUUCAAAAGAGAAUAUUGCAUUGAAGCUGCAAAAGUGGGUGAAGACUCUGUAGGUA
rnacentral:tRNA from 1 species